rnacentral:snRNA from 1 species
GUGUUCGCUUCUGCAGCAUGUAUACUGAAAUUGAGACAGUACAGAGAAGAUUAGCAUGGCCUCUGCACAAGGAUGGCAUGCAAAUUCAUGAAGCAUUCCAUAUUUUU